rnacentral:rRNA from 1 species
AGUGAACGCUGGCGGUAGGCCUAACACAUGCAAGUCGAACGGCAGCACAGUAAGAGCUUGCUCUUACGGGUGGCGAGUGGCGGACGGGUGAGGAAUACAUCGGAAUCUACUUUUUCGUGGGGGAUGACGUAGGGAAACUUACGCUAAUACCGCAUACGACCUACGGGUGAAAGCAGGGGUUCUUCGGACCUUGCGCGAUUGAAUGAGCCGAUGUCGGAUUAGCUAGUUGGCGGGGUAAAGGCCCACCAAGGCGACGAUCCGUAGCUGGUCUGAGAGGAUGAUCAGCCACACUGGAACUGAGACACGGUCCAGACUCCUACGGGAGGCAGCAGUGGGGAAUAUUGGACAAUGGGCGCAAGCCUGAUCCAGCCAUACCGCGUGGGUGAAGAAGGCCUUCGGGUGGUAAAGCCCUUUUGUUGGGAAAGAAAAGCAGCAGGUUAAUACCCCGCUGUUCUGACGGUACCCAAAGAAGAAGCACCGGCUAACUUCGUG